AUUGAACGCUGGCGGAAUGCUUUACACAUGCAAGUCGAACGGCAGCACGGGGGCAGCCCUGGUGGCGAGUGGCGAACGGGUGAGUAAUACAUCGGAACGUGCCCGGUCGUGGGGGAUAACGUAGCGAAAGUUACGCUAAUACCGCAUACGAUCUGAGGAUGAAAGCGGGGGACCUUCGGGCCUCGCGCGAUCGGAGCGGCCGAUGUCAGAUUAGGUAGUUGGUGGGGUAAAGGCCUACCAAGCCGACGAUCUGUAGCUGGUCUGAGAGGACGACCAGCCACACUGGGACUGAGACACGGCCCAGACUCCUACGGGAGGCAGCAGUGGGGAAUUUUGGACAAUGGGCGCAAGCCUGAUCCAGACAUUCCGCGUGCAGGACGAAGGCCUUCGGGUUGUAAACUGCUUUUGUACGGAACGAAAAGGCUCUGGCUAAUACCUGGGGCUCAUGACGGUACCGUAAGAAUAAGCACCGGCUAACUACGUG
rnacentral:rRNA from 1 species